UACGUAGGGGGCGAGCGUUGUCCGGAAUCAUUGGGCGUAAAGCGCGUGUAGGCGGCUUGGCAAGUCUUGCGUGAAAUCCCUCGGCUCAACUGAGGAACUGCCCUCCAAACUGUUUGGCUUGAGACCGGGAGAGGUGAGUGGAAUUCCCAGUGUAGCGGUGAAAUGCGUAGAUAUUGGGAGGAACACCAGUGGCGAAGGCGGCUCACUGGACCGGUACUGACGCUGAGGCGCGAAAGCGUGGGGAGCAAACGGG
rnacentral:rRNA from 1 species